rnacentral:rRNA from 1 species
AAACUUUCAACAACGGAUCUCUUGGUUCUCGCAUCGAUGAAGAACGCAGCGAAAUGCGAUAAGUAGUGUGAAUUGCAGAAUUCCGUGAAUCAUCGAAUCUUUGAACGCACAUUGCGCCUCCUGGCGUUCCGGGAGGCAUGCCUGUUCGAGCGUC